rnacentral:rRNA from 1 species
ACCCACGACAAAUCUUACCACUUCUUGCAUAUUCUAGUUCGUUAAUGUGAAGAUAAUUUAAUUUAUUUAUAAAUACUAUAACUAUAACAAUAGUAUAGUAUUCUGAAUGGAUUUAACUUCCCUUAAUUACACUUGAAUACAGGUGUUGCAUGGCUGUCUUUAGUUCGUGUUGUGAAAUGUUAGGUUCAUUCCGUGAACGAACGCAAUCCUUAUCUUUAAUUACAAUUAUAUUUCAUUCAAUUUAAUUAAACUUUUAAAUGAAUGAAUUAAAAGUUCAAUAAGUUCAAAUUCAUUCUUGGUUGAAACGUUUUAAUUCCUUCAAUUCUUAUUUUUUAUUUUGAUGAAUGAAUUAAAAUGAAUGAAUCCAACGUAAAUCAAAUGAAUUAAACUAAAUUCAAUUGAAUUUAUAUUAACUCCAAUUAAAGAAGUAUCUUUUGAUAAGAAAGAAUAAUUAGGACGAAGACAAGUCCUCAUGACCCUUAUGGAGUGGGCUACAGACGUGCCACAAAGAUUUCUACAAUGGGAAGCAAAGAUCCAAGUCCGAGCAAAUCCUAAAAGAA